rnacentral:rRNA from 1 species
AAUGAACGUUGGCGGCGUGGAUUAGGCAUGCAAGUCGUGCGAGGAUCUCCCUUCGGGGAGAGGACAGCGGCGAAAGGGAGAGUAACGCGUGGUUACAUACCCUCGGGACCGGGAUAGUAGCGGGAAACUGCUAGUAAUACCGGAUAAUAUCUUUGGAUCAAAGGUGUGAUUCCGCCCGAGGAUUGGACCGCGUUCUAUUAGCUUGUUGGCGGGGUAAUGGCCCACCAAGGCGACGAUGGAUACCGGGUGUGAGAGCAUGGCCCGGCUCACUGGGACUGAGACACUGCCCAGACACCUACGGGUGGCUGCAGUCGAGAAUCAUCGGCAAUGGGGGCAACCCUGACCGAGCGACGCCGCGUGCGGGAUGAAGGCCCUCGGGUUGUAAACCGCUGUCAGUUGGGAGGAAGUGCCAGGGGGUUCUCCCCUUGGUUUGACCGAUCUUCAGAGGAAGGACGGGCUAAGUUCGUGCCAGCCGCCGCCGUAAUAC